rnacentral:rRNA from 1 species
CCUACGGGGCGCAGCAGUGAGGAAUAUUGGUCAAUGGACGAGAGUCUGAACCAGCCAAGUAGCGUGAAGGAUGACUGCCCUAUGGGUUGUAAACUUCUUUUAUAUGGGAAUAAAAUGUUCCACGUGUGGGAUUUUGUAUGUACCAUAUGAAUAAGGAUCGGCUAACUCCGUGCCAGCAGCCGCGGUAAUACGGAGGAUCCGAGCGUUAUCCGGAUUUAUUGGGUUUAAAGGGAGCGUAGGUGGAUUGUUAAGUCAGUUGUGAAAGUUUGCGGCUCAACCGUAAAAUUGCAGUUGAAACUGGCAGGCUUGAGUACAGUAGAGGUGGGCGGAAUUCGUGGUGUAGCGGUGAAAUGCUUAGAUAUCACGAAGAACUCCGAUUGCGAAGGCAGCUCACUGGACUGCAACUGACACUGAGGCUCGAAAGUGUGGGUAUCAAACAGGAUUAGAUACCCCAGUAGUC